UACGAAGGGGGCUAGCGUUGCUCGGAAUCACUGGGCGUAAAGGGUGCGUAGGCGGGGCUUUAAGGCAGGGGUGAAAUCCUGGAGCUCAACUCCAGAACUGCCCUUGAUACUGAAGGUCUUGAGUUCGGGAGAGGUGAGUGGAACUGCGAGUGUAGAGGUGAAAUUCGUAGAUAUCGGAAGGAACACCUGUGGCGAAAGCGGCUCACUGGACCAUUACUGACGCUGAUGCACGAAAGCUAGGGGAGCAAACAGG
rnacentral:rRNA from 1 species